AAAGUGAAUAGUGAAAUCUGGGGGCUCAACCUCACAGACUGUUAUUCAAACUCACAAGCUCGAGAAUGAUAGAGGUCACUGGAAUUUCUGAAGUAGGGGUAAUAUCCGUAGAUAUCAGAAGGAACACCAAUGGCGUAGGCAGGUGACUGGAUCAUUUCUGACACUGAGGCACGAAAGCGUGGGGAGCGAACCGGAUUAGAUACCCGGGUAGUCCACGCCGUAAACGAUGGAUACUA
rnacentral:rRNA from 1 species